GUCGCGUCGCUCCUUGCCAAGUCCCCACCGUCCCCACCGCAGUGGGGGGUGCCGGGCGAGGCUCGGAUGUGCAGAGUGGCCCGUCGUGCCCAUCGGCGCGGCGGGCUGAAGAGCGGGUUAUCUUCUCAUUGGCCACGAACAACGAGGGGUGGAUGAAAGCUGCCGCGGGCAAGGCCCGCGUUGUCUCGUGCCGGCCCGAGUGAAGGUCACACCCUUCGUGCGAUCCCAUCCCACGCGCCGCCCCCGUGCGGCGGCUUGGAAC
rnacentral:misc_RNA from 1 species